rnacentral:rRNA from 1 species
AACGAACGCUGGCGGCAUGCCUAACACAUGCAAGUCGAACGAGACCUUCGGGUCUAGUGGCGCACGGGUGCGUAACGCGUGGGAAUCUACCUUUAGGUUCGGAAUAACUCGGGGAAACCCGUGCUAAUACCGGAUGAUGUCUUCGGACCAAAGAUUUAUCGCCUAGAGAUGAGCCCGCGUCGGAUUAGCUAGUUGGUGAGGUAAAGGCUCACCAAGGCGACGAUCCGUAGCUGGUCUGAGAGGAUGAUCAGCCACACUGGGACUGAGACACGGCCCAGACUCCUACGGGAGGCAGCAGUGGGGAAUAUUGGACAAUGGGCGAAAGCCUGAUCCAGCAAUGCCGCGUGAGUGAUGAAGGCCUUAGGGUUGUAAAGCUCUUUUACCCGGGAUGAUAAUGACAGUACCGGGAGAAUAAGCCCCGGCUAACUCCGUGCCAGCAGCCGCAGUAACAC